CCUACGGGAGGCAGCAGUGGGGAAUAUUGCACAAUGGGCGAAAGCCUGAUGCAGCGACGCCGCGUGAGGGAUGACGGCCUUCGGGUUGUAAACCUCUUUCAGCAGGGAAGAAGCGAAAGUGACGGUACCUGCAGAAGAAGCGCCGGCUAACUACGUGCCAGCAGCCGCGGUAAUACGUAGGGCGCAAGCGUUGUCCGGAAUUAUUGGGCGUAAAGAGCUCGUAGGCGGCUUGUCACGUCGGGUGUGAAAGCCCGGGGCUUAACCCCGGGUCUGCAUUCGAUACGGGCUGGCUAGAGUGUGGUAGGGGAGAUCGGAAUUCCUGGUGUAGCGGUGAAAUGCGCAGAUAUCAGGAGGAACACCGGUGGCGAAGGCGGAUCUCUGGGCCAUUACUGACGCUGAGGAGCGAAAGCGUGGGGAGCGAACAGGAUUAGAUACCCUGGUAGUCCACGCCGUAAACGGUGGGAACUAGGUGUUGGCGACAUUCCACGUCGUCGGUGCCGCAGCUAACGCAUUAAGUUCCCCGCCUGGGGAGUACGGCCGCAAGGCUAAACUCAAAUGAAUUGACGG
rnacentral:rRNA from 1 species